GAGAGAGGGAGAGGGAGGGAGAGAGAGGGAGAGGGACUACCCAGAAGGAGGGGGAGAGAGGGGGAAUACCCCCAAGUGCAAUGCUUCAAAUGGUUUCUCCUCCGUGCCUCCGGACUCUCGUGUUCCCAGCUGGUUCCCGAUCACCUGUCCAGCUGCUCCCCCCUCCCAACUACACACCCUGCGUCACCAUGACUACCGGCAUUCCUGACCUCUGACCCCCCCAUCUAGUCCUGGUCCGAAAUUCCAGAAAAAUCCCAAACCCAACCUUAGACAUGAAACUAAAAAUAGAUUGUCGAUUGAUGUCGGUAGGUAAUGGGCGACACCGAAAUGUCAUGUGACAUGUUAGUGAGGCGGAGACGAGAGAGAGAGACAGAGAGAUACAGAGACAGAGAGAGACACACAGAGGGAGACAGAGAGAGUAUCAUGUACUCCACUAUCAGCUGACCCUCAGUGUUGGGGCUGGGGGGGCAGGCUGACAGAUGAGACCCGCCGAGUCCCCCCAACACCUCCAGCUUCACUGCUGUGCCGUACUGUGGUUCAAUUUAUUCACACACACACACACACACACACACACACACACACACACACACACACACACACACACACACACAUUUCCAUAAACACACGCAACCAGACACACACACACAAGCACACGUUUACACAAAUACACACACACACAAACAAACCCAUUCCCCCUAGCCAGGCACGUAGACCAACACUUCCUUACUUCUUGUUUACACACAAGUAAAUUGCCCCCCUCAUCUGCCCAAUGACAACGCAGGGCUCCUAUACAUGAUGCACAUGAUUAAAACAUGAUUAAAACAUGAAUAUCGUUGCCUCGGAUCAUGAGCGGGAGCCCAGAGCUCCAGAAUACGCACAACGUUCCGGCUCAUUCCCCCAUCAAACACAGAGGCUAUUCUCUCCAGAUUGGACGGAGCAGAUGAGGUCUGAAGCCGCCGCUGUGGAGCAGGAUGAUUCCCUCGUGGUGAUUUCACUGCGCUUACUCAGAAAGCCGCGUGGCUCAAGCCAAACGUAGAAUCGGGUGCAUGUGUUGGCGCUGUUCGCGCCGCAGGCAAUCACAGGGUGAGCUCUGCGCUGUGAUUGCAUCGGCCCCACAGAAUAACUGAUGUGCGCUGGGAUUCAAUCUACGGCACGGUGAAGGAAACAGAGGGAUCAACCCGCCGCCACUUUAGUGGAAAGUGUGUGAGUGUGGGCCUGCUGUUUAUUUGUCGCUCUUUUAGAGGACUCUCCAGUGAGUCAACUUCCUAAUGAGGUGUGUUUGCCAAAGUCUAAUGGUACGUGUUUUACUCGACGUAAUGGGGGGAGUGCAAGUCUCCGACAGAUGGAGGCUUCACUCUGUCAUUGUUGGCUCUCUCUCCCUCUCUACCCCCCUCUCUCUCCCUCACCCUCUCUCCCUCCCACUCUCCCCCCCUCUCCCUCUCUCCUCCCACUCUCCCCCUCUACCUCUCUCUCUCUCUCUCCAGAUGCUCCCAUCCAUGUUCUGCCAUCACUCAGGGUGGAUGAGGUUGCUAUAUAAAGCCCCCCCCUCCUCCUCAAGGCAAACAGAGAGACAGGAACUCUUGAGCGGGAGAUCGUCCUUACAGGUGACUCUCGCUCACCCCUUUGCACUGUCCUCUUUUGGGCCACAAAGGACCGUCUAAUCCGUCAUGUGGUACCAUAAUGGUGAAUGUGUGUGUGUGUGUGUGUGUGUGUGUGUGUGUGUGUGUGUGUGUGUGUGUGUGUGUGUGUGUGUGUGUGUGUUGCAAAAACAUGACCACAUGUAUAUGUGCGUCAUUUUUGCCGGGAGGGUAACGGGAAUAACGCAACAGAACACAAUAGUGAGAGCUGACAACAGGGGGGCUUCGGGUUGGAACACACACACACACACACACACACACACACACACACACACACACGUGUUCCUGGGGGCCGUAUCUGUGCUGUGAAGAGGUGCACAAAGGGCUCUAUUGAAGAGGAGGUGGUGUUGAAGAGAGGCGGCCUGGCUCUCAGACCACCAGCUGAUGACAGCGGCCGUGAUAGUGAGGCUGAACCCGGCCCCCCGCCACUCUGCCUCAGCGCUCCACCAAGAGGACAGUGAGGCUGAACCCGGCCCCCCACUCUGCCUCAGCGCUCCACCAAGAGGACAGUGAGGCUGAACCCGGCCCCCCGCCACUCUGCCUCAGCGCUCCACCAAGAGGACAGUGAGGCUGAACCCGGCCCCCCGCCACUCUGCCUCAGCGCUCCACCCAGAGGACAGUGAGGCUGAACCCGGCCCCCCGCCACUCUGCCUCAGCGCUCCACCAAGAGGACAGUGAGGCUGAACCCGGCCCCCCGCCACUCUGCCUCAGCGCUCCACCAAGAGGACAGCGCCCCUCCAGUUGUUCGAGUACUAGUUCAGCUUAUCUGUUUCUUCUUCCCAGGCCGGAAGGUUGCCGGUUCAAUCCCCAGACUCCCCCUAGUCAGGGCCGAGAGACCCCCUGACCCUUGCUUCUCCUGACCUGCCGCCUGUUGCCCGCGUGAACGUGUGCAUGAAUGGGUGAAUAAAUGUAUGAAAGUGAGGCACUGAUGUAAAGGUCUAUGAAUGGCCACGGGAUAUUAAAGCGCUAUAUAAAUGCAUUCCAUUUGACUCUGACAUUAUAAACCAGAGAGGGGGAUUCAACUGAUCCAAAACAAAAGGGCCCUUUGGUGCACGUAGAUUGUGUGAGUGGGCAACAGGUCGUUUUCAAGAUAGAGAGAGCACAAUCCGUCGUACACACCUAGCACACUCACGUUCCUGUGGACCCAGGGUGUGUGUUUGCCUUGGGGAAGUGCUGUGUGUUUUUCCGACUGUUUAUCGCUUUGUAAAGGUUCAGGGAUUUAUUACACGCAUGCUUAUGAAACGUCAAAGUCCCUCUUGUAGAAUCAUGUUUGUCCGCAUGUGUUAUCGCUCCUUGAAAGGAUUAGAUUUCUGUAGAAAUGCGGUUUGUUUUGUUUGGUACCGAUUAUAAUUCUUCAUAUCUAGACGGAUUGUAAAUGAUUAUUAUUG
ensembl:lncRNA